rnacentral:rRNA from 1 species
AUUGAACGCUGGCGGCAUGCUUUACACAUGCAAGUCGAACGGUAACAGGCCGCAAGGUGCUGACGAGUGGCGAACGGGUGAGUAAUGCAUCGGAACGUGCCCAGUCGUGGGGGAUAACGCAGCGAAAGCUGCGCUAAUACCGCAUACGACCUUCGGGUGAAAGGGGGGGAUCGAAAGACCUCUCGCUAUUGGAGCGGCCGAUGUCAGAUUAGGUAGUUGGUGGGGUAAAAGCCUACCAAGCCAACGAUCUGUAGCUGGUCUGAGAGGACGACCAGCCACACUGGGACUGAGACACGGCCCAGACUCCUACGGGAGGCAGCAGUGGGGAAUUUUGGACAAUGGGCGCAAGCCUGAUCCAGCCAUGCCGCGUGCGGGAAGAAGGCCUUCGGGUUGUAAACCGCUUUUGUCAGGGAAGAAACGCUUCGAGCUAAUACCUUGGAGUAAUGACGGUACCUGAAGAAUAAGCACCGGCUAACUACGUGCCAGCCGCCGCAGUAAGAC